AGGGGCUUGCUCAGCUUACGAGGUCCUUGCUAUCGGAUGUAUCGACGCUCUUUACGCCUCGCUCGCCCGACCUGCUCCCGCCCACCGCCGUCGCUCGACCUCGAAAUCCAGCAGGACUUGCCGUUCAGCGACGUUACGCUCCGGUUUACAGGCGCCUCUCGAGCGUGCACAGCCGGCUUGCCUUUUCGGCGCCUUGCAAGACCUUUCGCCAAACCUCCU
rnacentral:misc_RNA from 1 species